CGCUGGCGGCGUGCUUAACACAUGCAAGUCGAACGGAAAGGCCCUGCUUUUGUGGGGUGCUCGAGUGGCGAACGGGUGAGUAACACGUGAGUAACCUGCCCUUGACUUUGGGAUAACUUCAGGAAACUGGGGCUAAUACCGGAUAGGAGCUCCUGCUGCAUGGUGGGGGUUGGAAAGUUUCGGCGGUUGGGGAUGGACUCGCGGCUUAUCAGCUUGUUGGUGGGGUAGUGGCUUACCAAGGCUUUGACGGGUAGCCGGCCUGAGAGGGUGACCGGCCACAUUGGGACUGAGGUACGGCCCAGACUCCUACGGGAGGCAGCAGUGGGGAAUAUUGCACAAUGGGCGGAAGCCUGAUGCAGCAACGCCGCGUGCGGGAUGACGGCCUUCGGGUUGUAAACCGCUUUCGCCUGUGACGAAGCGUGAGUGACGGUAAUGGGUAAAGAAGCACCGGCUAACUACGUGCCAGCAGCCGCGGUGAUACGUAGGGUGCGAGCGUUGUCCGGAUUUAUUGGGCGUAAAGGGCUCGUAGGUGGUUGAUCGCGUCGGAAGUGUAAUCUUGGGGCUUAACCCUGAGCGUGCUUUCGAUACGGGUUGACUUGAGGAAGGUAGGGGAGAAUGGAAUUCCUGGUGGAGCGGUGGAAUGCGCAGAUAUCAGGAGGAACACCAGUGGCGAAGGCGGUUCUCUGGGCCUUUCCUGACGCUGAGGAGCGAAAGCGUGGGGAGCGAACAGGCUUAGAUACCCUGGUAGUCCACGCUGUAAACGGUGGGUACUAGGUGUGGGGUCCAUUCCACGGGUUCCGUGCCGUAGCUAACGCUUUAAGUACCCCGCCUGGGGAGUACGGCCGCAAGGCUAAAACUCAAAGGAAUUGACGGGGCCCCGCACAAGCGGCGGAGCAUGCGGAUUAAUUCGAUGCAACGCGUAGAACCUUACCUGGGUUUGACAUGGAUCGGGAGUGCUCAGAGAUGGGUGUGCCUCUUUUGGGGUCGGUUCACAGGUGGUGCAUGCCUGUCGUCAGCUCGUGUCGUGAGAUGUUGGGUUAAGUCCCGCAACGAGCGCAACCCUUGUUCACUGUUGCCAGCACGUUAUGGUGGGGACUCAGUGGAGACCGCCGGGGUCAACUCGGAGGAAGGUGGGGAUGACGUCAAGUCCUCAUGCCCCUUAUGUCCAGGGCUUCACGCAUGCUACAAUGGCUGGUACAGAGAGUGGCGAGCCUGUGAGGGUGAGCGAAUCUCGGAAAGCCGGUCUCAGUUCGGAUUGGGGUCUGCAACUCGACCUCAUGAAGUCGGAGUCGCUAGUAAUCGCAGAUCAGCAACGCUGCGGUGAAUACGUUCCCGGGGCUUGUACACACCGCCCGUCAAGUCAUGAAAGUUGGUAACACCCGAAGCCGGAGGCCUAACCGUUGUGGGGGAGCCGUCGAAGGUGGGACUGGA
rnacentral:rRNA from 1 species